UCUCGAUGUUCAGCUGCUGAAAAUCAACUUCGUGGAGGGCCUCUCCUACCUCUUCCUUCUACGGCUCAGAAGAAAAAAUGCUCUUUUUUUACAAGCUCGAGUUUCUGGUCCACAGUGAGGCCUAUUAUACGGUCUGUACCUGGGCGGAACUUGGACUUACGCCGGCCUCUUAACUGCAACCCAAGAAAGACAAAGCCAUUGUCAAGGACAACUUGGUAAUUAAGCAGCCCAAGGUGUCUAGAUUCACAGAAGCGCAUUUGUCCUGCUUCCCAGAAAAGAGAUGCUGCUAGACAGCAGAGGUUCUCAACUUUAG